rnacentral:rRNA from 1 species
AUUCCAGCUCCAAUAGCGUAUAUUAAAGUUGUUGCAGUUAAAAAGCUCGUAGUUGGAUUUGUGGCGUGUGCCAUAGCGUCCAUUUAUUUGGUUCUGCCGUGGCCGUGCCAUCCUUGGGUGGAUCCUGUGUGGCAUUAGGUUGUCGUGCAGGGGAUUCCCAUCGUUUACUGUGAAAAAAUUAGAGUGUUCAAAGCAGGCUUAUGCCGUUGAAUAUAUUAGCAUGGAAUAAUAAGAUAGGUCUUUGGUCCUAUUUUGUUGGUUUGCGGGCCGGAGAAAUGAUUAAAAGGGACAGUUGGGGGUAUUCGUAUUCCAUUGUCAGAGGUGAAAUUCUUGGAUUUCUGGAAGACGAACUACUGCGAAAGCAUUUACCAAGGAUGUUUUCAUUAAUCAAGAACGAAAGUUAGGGGAUCGAAGAUGAUUAGAUACCAUCGUAGUC